AUUGAACGCUGGCGGCAGGCCUAACACAUGCAAGUCGAACGGCAGCACGGGAGCUUGCUCCUGGUGGCGAGUGGCGGACGGGUGAGUAAUAUAUCGGAACGUGCCCAGUCGUGGGGGAUAACGCAGCGAAAGCUGUGCUAAUACCGCAUACGAUCUAUGGAUGAAAGCGGGGGAUCGCGAGACCUCGCGCGAUUGGAGCGGCCGAUAUUAGAUUAGCUAGUUGGUGAGGUAAAGGCUCACCAAGGCGACGAUCUGUAGCUGGUCUGAGAGGACGACCAGCCACACUGGAACUGAGACACGGUCCAGACUCCUACGGGAGGCAGCAGUGGGGAAUUUUGGACAAUGGGCGAAAGCCUGAUCCAGCAAUGCCGCGUGCAGGAUGAAGGCCUUCGGGUUGUAAACUGCUUUUGUACGGAACGAAACGGUGAGCUCUAAUACAGUUUGCUAAUGACGGUACCGUAAGAAUAAGCACCGGCUAACUACGUGCCAGCCGCCGCAGUAA
rnacentral:rRNA from 1 species